rnacentral:rRNA from 1 species
UACGUAGGGUGCGAGCGUUGUCCGGAAUUAUUGGGCGUAAAGCGCACGUAGGCGGUUUGUUAAGUCGGAUGUGAAAUCCCUCGGCUCAACUGAGGAAGUGCAUCCGAAACUGGCAGGCUUGAGUACUAAAGAGGGUCGCGGAAUUCCCGGUGUAGAGGUGAAAUUCGUAGAUAUCGGGAGGAACACCCGUGGCGAAGGCGACCAUCUGGACGGAUACUGACGCUGAGACGCGAAAGCGUGGGUAGCAAACAGG